rnacentral:rRNA from 1 species
AAAGUCGUAACAAGGUUUCCGUAGGUGAACCUGCGGAAGGAUCAUUAUUGAAAUAAACCUGAUAAGUUGCUGCUGGUUCUCUAGAGAGCAAUGUGCACACUUGUCAUUUUUGUAUCUUCACCUGUGCACCUUUUGUAGACCUGACUAUCUCUCUGAAUGCUUUUAUAGCACUCAGGAUUGAGAAUUGACUACUUGUCUCUUCUUAUAAUUUCAGGUCUAUGUUUCUUCAUAUACCCUAAUGUAUGUUCAUAGAAUGUAAUUAAUGGGCCUUUGUGCCUAUAAACCUUUACAACUUUCAGCAACGGAUCUCUUGGCUCUCGCAUCGAUGAAGAACGCAGCGAAAUGCGAUAAGUAAUGUGAAUUGCAGAAUUCAGUGAAUCAUCGAAUCUUUGAACGCACCUUGCGCUCCUUGGUAUUCCGAGGAGCAUGCCUGUUUGAGUGUCAUUAAUAUUAUCAACCCUUUUUGGUUGGAUGUGGGUUUGCUGGCCUCUCCCAAGGUCAGCUCUCCUUAAAUGCAUUAGCGGACAACAUUUUUGCCAACUGUUCAUUGGUGUGAUAAUUAUCUACGCUAUUGACGUGAAGCAAGGUUCUGCUUCUAAUAGUCCAUUAACUUGGACAAGCCCUCUUUUAUUAAUGUGGCCUCAAAUCA